rnacentral:rRNA from 1 species
UGCCAGCCGCCGCGGUAAUACGGAGGGGGCUAGCGUUAUUCGGAUUUACUGGGCGUAAAGAGCAUGUAGGCGGAUUGGACAGUUGGAGGUGAAAUCCCGGAGCUCAACUCCGGAACUGCCUUCAAUACUUCCAGUCUAGAAUCUGUAAGGGGGUGGUGGAAUUCCGAGUGUAGAGGUGAAAUUCGUAGAUAUUCGGAGGAACACCAGUGGCGAAGGCGGCUUUCUGGACCGAUACUGACGCUGAGACGCGAAAGCGUGGGGAGCAAACAGGAUUAGAUA